CUGAGUUGCAAAACUCCCAAACCACUGUGAACAUACCACUGUUGCUUCGGCGGUCCGCCCCGGGUGCGCCCUCGCGACGUGUCCCGGGCCCAGGCGGCCGCCGGGGGCAUCGAAUCUCUGUCUUUACAGCGGGCUUCUGAGUACUUUAAACAAAUAAAUCA
rnacentral:misc_RNA from 1 species